GGCGUAAGCGCACGCAGGCGGUCUGUCAAGUCGGAUGUGAAAUCCCCGGGCUCAACCUGGGAACUGCAUUCGAAACUGGCAGGCUAGAGUCUUGUAGAGGGGGGUAGAAUUCCAGGUGUAGCGGUGAAAUGCGUAGAGAUCUGGAGGAAUACCGGUGGCGAAGGCGGCCCCCUGUACAAAGACUGACGCUCCGGUGCGAAAGCGUGGGGAGCAAACAGGAU
rnacentral:rRNA from 1 species